UGUGUGUUAGUGGAAGCGUCUGGAAAGGCGCGCGAUACAGGGUGACAGCCCCGUACACAAAAAUGCACAUGCUGUGAGCUCGAUGAGUAGGGCGGGACACGUGGUAUCCUGUCUGAAUAUGGGGGGACCAUCCUCCAAGGCUAAAUACUCCUGACUGACCGAUAGUGAACCAGUACCGUGAGGGAAAGGCGAAAAGAACCCCGGCGAGGGGAGUGAAAAAGAACCUGAAACCGUGUACGUACAAGCAGUGGGAGCACAGAGCAAUCUGUGUGACUGCGUACCUUUUGUAUAAUGGGUCAGCGACUUAUAUUCUGUAGCAAGGUUAACCGAAUAGGGGAGCCGAAGGGAAACCGAGUCUUAACUGGGCGUUAAGUUGCAGGGUAUAGACCCGAAACCCGGUGAUCUAGCCAUGGGCAGGUUGAAGGUUGGGUAACACUAACUGGAGGACCGAACCGACUAAUGUUGAAAAAUUAGCGGAUGACUUGUGGCUGGGGGUGAAAGGCCAAUCAAACCGGGAGAUAGCUGGUUCUCCCCGAAAGCUAUUUAGGUAGCGCCUCGUGAAUUCAUCUCCGGGGGUAGAGCACUGUUUCGGCAAGGGGGUCAUCCCGACUUACCAACCCGAUGCAAACUGCGAAUACCGGAGAAUGUUAUCACGGGAGACACACGGCGGGUGCUAACGUCCGUCGUGAAGAGGGAAACAACCCAGACCGCCAGCUAAGGUCCCAAAGUCAUGGUUAAGUGGGAAACGAUGUGGGAAGGCCCAGACAGCCAGGAUGUUGGCUUAGAAGCAGCCAUCAUUUAAAGAAAGCGUAAUAGCUCACUGGUCGAGUCGGCCUGCGCGGAAGAUGUAACGGGGCUAAACCAUGCACCGAAGCUGCGGCAGCGACGCUUAUGCGUUGUUGGGUAGGGGAGCGUUCUGUAAGCCUGUGAAGGUGUGCUGUGAGGCAUGCUGGAGGUAUCAGAAGUGCGAAUGCUGACAUAAGUAACGAUAAAGCGGGUGAAAAGCCCGCUCGCCGGAAGACCAAGGGUUCCUGUCCAACGUUAAUCGGGGCAGGGUGAGUCGACCCCUAAGGCGAGGCCGAAAGGCGUAGUCGAUGGGAAACAGGUUAAUAUUCCUGUACUUGGUGUUACUGCGAAGGGGGGACGGAGAAGGCUAUGUUGGCCGGGCGACGGUUGUCCCGGUUUAAGCGUGUAGGCUGGUUUUCCAGGCAAAUCCGGAAAAUCAAGGCUGAGGCGUGAUGACGAGGCACUACGGUGCUGAAGCAACAAAUGCCCUGCUUCCAGGAAAAGCCUCUAAGCAUCAGGUAACAUCAAAUCGUACCCCAAACCGACACAGGUGGUCAGGUAGAGAAUACCAAGGCGCUUGAGAGAACUCGGGUGAAGGAACUAGGCAAAAUGGUGCCGUAACUUCGGGAGAAGGCACGCUGAUAUGUAGGUGAAGCGACUUGCUCGUGGAGCUGAAAUCAGUCGAAGAUACCAGCUGGCUGCAACUGUUUAUUAAAAACACAGCACUGUGCAAACACGAAAGUGGACGUAUACGGUGUGACGCCUGCCCGGUGCCGGAAGGUUAAUUGAUGGGGUCAGCGCAAGCGAAGCUCUUGAUCGAAGCCCCGGUAAACGGCGGCCGUAACUAUAACGGUCCUAAGGUAGCGAAAUUCCUUGUCGGGUAAGUUCCGACCUGCACGAAUGGCGUAAUGAUGGCCAGGCUGUCUCCACCCGAGACUCAGUGAAAUUGAACUCGCUGUGAAGAUGCAGUGUACCCGCGGCAAGACGGAAAGACCCCGUGAACCUUUACUAUAGCUUGACACUGAACAUUGAGCCUUGAUG
rnacentral:rRNA from 1 species